GGAAAAUGGCGGCCUCCUUGCUGCUUGCGUUACCAGAGUCCACCCGGCCUCGUGCUUUCUCCGGGCGCCCGUAGCUGGCGCCGGCAUCCACAAAAAUAGAUCAGAGUGGAUGUGCGUUGAAAGCAGUCUAGGAGGACAUACACUAAAAUGCUGAGUAUCUCUGGAUGGCGGCGGCGUUGAGGGCUGGAGUGCAAUGGCGCAAUCUGCAAUGGCUCACUGUGACCUCCGCCUCCCAGGUUCAAGCAAUUCUCCUGCCUCAGCCUCCCAAGUAGGUGGGAUUGCAG
rnacentral:lncRNA from 1 species